UUAAUUUCAUCCAAGAUUUGGAGGCUUGAUGACCAGCCCCACGAGUGGAGAUUUGAUGAUCUUCCACCACCCUAUUGCUCUGAUGAAUGAUAGAUGAAGAAUGGAGCCUGCAAUCAAGAGUCAUUUUCUUUAAUGAGAUGAUCCACCGCACACUCAAGUAAUGUACCUCAAAGUUUUAUGGAAGUUGGUAGAGAAAGUUCUUAUACCAAAGCCUAAGGGUCAGCUAUCUAUGGAGAAUAAAUCUACAACACCACCAGGAAUGAAGUGGUCCUUUUCCCCUGGCACAAAUCUCCCAAUGGGCAAUAUUUUCAAGAUUGAAUGGGACUCCAAGCAAAAGCUCAAUGAAUUUGUCAAAGAACUCAGGACAUUUAGAAGUGUUGACUU